AUAGUAACUCCACCGCUUCCCCGGGCAGCCUGUUCCAAUGCUUGAAAAUCCUUUUGGUCAAGACGUUUUUCCUGAUACCCAAUCUAAACCGCCCCUGGUGCAACAUGAAGCUCUUUCCUCUUGUCCAAUUGCUUGUUACCUGGCAGAAGAGAUCAACAUCCACCUCACUACAGCCUCAUUUCAGUAGUUGCAGAGAGCAACAAGAUCCAGCUCCCCCCU